GACGAACGCUGGCGGCGUGCUUAACACAUGCAAGUCGAACGGAAAGGCCCUGCUUGCAGGGUACUCGAGUGGCGAACGGGUGAGUAACACGUGGGUGAUCUGCCCUGCACUUCGGGAUAAGCCUGGGAAACUGGGUCUAAUACCGGAUAUGACCUUCCAUGUAGUGUGGGGGGUGGAAAGAUUUAUCGGUGUGGGAUGAGCCCGCGGCCUAUCAGCUUGUUGGUGGGGUAAUGGCCUACCAAGGCGUCGACGGGUAGCCGGCCUGAGAGGGUGGACGGCCACAUUGGGACUGAGAUACGGCCCAGACUCCUACGGGAGGCAGCAGUGGGGAAUAUUGCACAAUGGGCGGAAGCCUGAUGCAGCGACGCCGCGUGGGGGAUGACGGCCUUCGGGUUGUAAACCUCUUUCGACAGGGACGAAGCUUCGGUGACGGUACCUGGAUAAGAAGCACCGGCUAACUACGUG
rnacentral:rRNA from 1 species